rnacentral:rRNA from 1 species
CCUACGGGAGGCAGCAGUGGGGAAUAUUGCACAAUGGGGGAAACCCUGAUGCAGCGACGCCGCGUGAGUGAAGAAGGAAUUCGGUAUGUAAAGCUCUAUCAGCAGGGAAGAAAAUGACGGUACCUGAGUAAGAAGCCACGGCCAACUACGUGCCAGCAGCCGCGGUAAUACGCAGGGGGCAAGCGUUAUCCGGAUUUACUGGGGGUAAAGGGAGCGUAGAGGGCAGGGCAAGUCUGGAGUGAAAGGCGGGGGCUCAACCCCCGGACUGCGCUGGAAACUGUACGGCUGGAGUGCAGGAGAGGUAAGUCGAAUUCCUAGUGUAGCGGUGACAUGCGUAGAUAUUAGGAGGAACACCAGUGGCGAAGGCGGCUUACUGGACUGUACCUGACGUUGAGGCUCGAAAGCGUGGGGAGCAAACAGGAUUAGAUACCCUGGUAGUC